rnacentral:rRNA from 1 species
CUACGGGGGGCUGCAGUGGGGAAUAUUGGACAAUGGGGGAAACCCUGAUCCAGCAAUGCCGCGUGUGUGAAGAAGGCCUGCGGGUUGUAAAGCACUUUCGGUUGGGAGGACUGCUUCUAGCACUAAUAUUGUUGGAAGUUGACGUUACCUUCAGAAGAAGCACCGGCUAACUCCGUGCCAGGCAGCCGCGGUAAUACGGAGGGUGCAAGCGUUAAUCGGAAUUACUGGGCGUAAAGCGCGCGUAGGCGGCUAGAUCAGUCGGGUGUGAAAGCCCCGGGCUUAACCUGGGAACUGCAUCCGAUACUGUCUAGCUUGAGUACAGGAGGGGAGAGUGGAAUUCCACAUGUAGCGGUGAAAUGCGUAGAUAUGUGGAGGAACACCAAUGGCGAAGGCAGCUCUCUGGCCUGAUACUGACGCUGAGGUGCGAGAGCGUGGGGAGCAAACAGGAUUAGAUACCCUUGUAGUC